rnacentral:rRNA from 1 species
AUGGCUCAGGAUGAACGCUAGCUACAGGCUUAACACAUGCAAGUCGAGGGGCAUCAGGACGAUAGCUUGCUAUUGUUGCUGGCGACCGGCGCACGGGUGAGUAACGCGUAUCCAACCUGGCCCUUAGUAGGGGAUAGCCCGGCGAAAGUCGGAUUAAUACCCUAUGUUUUCCUUUGAUGGCAUCUGAUUUGGAAUAAAGAUUGAUCGCUAAGGGAUGGGGAUGCGUCUGAUUAGGUAGUAGGCGGGGUAACGGCCCACCUAGCCAACGAUCAGUAGGGGUUCUGAGAGGAAGGUCCCCCACAUUGGUACUGAGACACGGACCAAACUCCUACGGGAGGCAGCAGUGAGGAAUAUUGGUCAAUGGACGAGAGUCUGAACCAGCCAAGUAGCGUGCAGGAAUGACUGCCCUAUGGGUUGUAAACUGCUUUUAUGCGGGAAUAAAGUUCGGCACGUGUGCCGUCUUGUAUGUACCGCAUGAAUAAGGACCGGCUAAUUCCGUGCCAGCCGCUGC